rnacentral:rRNA from 1 species
UACGUAGGGUGCAGGCGUUAAUCGGAAUUACUGGGCGUAAAGCGUGCGCAGGCGGUUUGCUAAGACAGGUGUGAAAUCCCCGGGCUUAACCUGGGAACUGCGCUUGUAACUGGCAAGCUGGAGUGUGGCAGAGGGGGGUGGAAUUCCACGUGUAGCAGUGAAAUGCGUAGAGAUGUGGAGGAACACCGAUGGCGAAGGCAGCCCCCUGGGCCAAUACUGACGCUCAUGCACGAAAGCGUGGGGAGCAAACAGG